GAUGAACGCUAGCGGGAGGCCUAACACAUGCAAGCCGAGCGGUAUUGUUUCUUCGGAAAUGAGAGAGCGGCGUACGGGUGCGGAACACGUGUGCAACCUGCCUUUAUCUGGGGGAUAGCCUUUCGAAAGGAAGAUUAAUACUCCAUAAUAUAUUGAUUGGCAUCAAUUAAUAUUGAAAGCUCCGGCGGAUAGAGAUGGGCACGCGCAAGAUUAGCUAGUUGGUGAGGUAACGGCUCACCAAGGCGAUGAUCUUUAGGGGGCCUGAGAGGGUGAUCCCCCACACUGGUACUGAGACACGGACCAGACUCCUACGGGAGGCAGCAGUGAGGAAUAUUGGGCAAUGGAUGCAAGUCUGAUCCAGCCAUGCCGCGUGAAGGAAGAAGGUCCUCUGGAUUGUAAACUGCUUUGUACAGGAAGAAACACUCCCUGUGAGGGANCUUGACGGUACUGUAAGAAUAAGGAUCGGCUAACUCCGUGCCAG
rnacentral:rRNA from 1 species